rnacentral:rRNA from 1 species
AACGGAGGCGCUCAAAGGUUCCCUCAGAAUGGUUGGAAAUCAUUCGCAGAGUGUAAAGGCACAAGGGAGCUUGACUGCGAGACUUACAAGUCGAGCAGGGUCGAAAGACGGACUUAGUGAUCCGGUGGUUCCGCAUGGAAGGGCCAUCGCUCAACGGAUAAAAGCUACCCCGGGGAUAACAGGCUUAUCUCCCCCAAGAGUUCACAUCGACGGGGAGGUUUGGCACCUCGAUGUCGGCUCAUCGCAUCCUGGGGCUGUAGUCGGUCCCAAGGGUUGGGCUGUUCGCCCAUUAAAGCGGUACGCGAGCUGGGUUCAGAACGUCGUGAGACAGUUCGGUCCCUAUCCGUCGUGGGCGUAGGAAAUUUGAGAGGAGCUGUCCUUAGUACGAGAGGACCGGGAUGGACAUACCUCUGGUGUACCAGUUGUCGCGCCAGCGGCAUAGCUGGGUAGCUAUGUAUGGACGGGAUAAGUGCUGAAAGCAUCUAAGCAUGAAGCCCCCCUCAAGAUGAGAUUUCCCAACUUCGGUUAUAAGAUCCCUCAAAGAUGAUGAGGUUAAUAGGUUCGGGGUGUAAGCGCAGUAAUGUGUGUAGCUGACGAAUACUAAUCGAUCGAAGACUUAAUCAAAA